rnacentral:lncRNA from 1 species
GACCGUGCAGGUAACUGCAACUGAGGCAAUAUAGCCAGAGACUCACAGAGCUAGUGGGAUCUGUUCUGUAGCUAGCAAAACGUAACAAGGGAAUGAAGAGUGCCCAUGAACGGGAACUCCAGGAUACGGUUCACAAGUCCUCUGCAUCCUAUAAUCCAGCCCUGGCAAAGAGUGUUCGCAGUAUAACAGUGAGUGAGUUUUGUGGUAUGAUGCCAGAUCACAGACCUGCACAUCUAUUGGAUUAUAACUCCAGAGGAGAGAGAUGGUGCCCAAAUAUCUUGACCGGCCUUGGAUACCAUCAACCUUGACUCAGCCUCUGGAUAGGGAAGGGAGCACCAUUUGCUGCUCCAUCUCAGGCAGCAAAAUCUAUCUUGGUCCAGGCCUGACAAUCCCUCAGCAGGACGUAUAAUUUAGCUAGAUCCUCGGUGGCAAUCACUAAGGGACAAUUAUACAUUUGAACUAUACAGGCAAGCUUAAAAGGCAAAAAAUCCCUUUAAUGUCAUGAGGAGUGUUUCUCUCUGAAAGAAAAUACGUUUCUCAACGUAGAUAAUCCCUUAUUGUACCAAGGCAAAUUAUUCAAGCAGCAAAUUUAUUCACCAUUUCGUUCGUUUGUUUGUUUGCAUAUUCUAGGCAUUUAUAGCUUGGUCAUUUAUAGCCUGCUGGGCAGCAGGCCCUCAAAAAUGCUCUUCAGGUGUUAUAUGAAAAAAGGGCAGCCAGUCCCUUCAAUCCUCAAAGUAUGCGAGGCG